rnacentral:rRNA from 1 species
GACGAACGCUGGCGGCGUGCUUAACACAUGCAAGUCGAACGGAAAGGCCCUGCUUUUGUGGGGUGCUCGAGUGGCGAACGGGUGAGUAACACGUGAGUAACCUGCCCUUGACUUUGGGAUAACUUCAGGAAACUGGGGCUAUUACCGGAUAGGAGCUCCUGCUGCAUGGUGGGGGUUGGAAAGUUUCGGCGGUUGGGGAUGGACUCGCGGCUUAUCAGCUUGUUGGUGGGGUAGUGGCUUACCAAGGCUUUGACGGGUAGCCGGCCUGAGAGGGUGACCGGCCACAUUGGGACUGAGAUACGGCGCAGAAUCCUACGGGAGGCAGCAGUGGGGAAUAUUGCACAAUGGGCGGAAGCCUGAUGCAGCGACGCCGCGUGCGGGAUGACGGCCUUCGGGUUGUAAACCGCUUUCGCCUGUGACGAAGCGUGAGUGACGGUAAUGGGUAAAGAAGCACCGGCUAACUACGUG